rnacentral:rRNA from 1 species
UACGUAGGGUGCGAGCGUUGUCCGGAAUUAUUGGGCGUAAAGAGCUCGUAGGCGGCUUGUCACGUCGGGUGUGAAAGACCGGGGCUUAACCCCGGUUCUGCAUUCGAUACGGGCUGGCUAGAGUGUGGUAGGGGAGAUCGGAAUUCCUGGUGUAGCGGUGAAAUGCGCAGAUAUCAGGAGGAACACCGGUGGCGAAGGCGGAUCUCUGGGCCAUUACUGACGCUGAGGAGCGAAAGCGUGGGGAGCGAACAGG